AUUUAUUUUUGGAGAGAGAGAGAUUCAGAUGCGUUUUAGUGUUGUUGUUCUUAAGCAGAGAUUCGUACUCCAGGUGCUUACAAGUACAUGUCAAAGUUCGGAGGAAGAAACAAUCCGAUGGGAUGGAGGUUACAAGGCCAAACAGGUUAAGGGAUACGUCAUUUAUUGUAUACAUGUUAGACGUGGUGGUCACAAGAGGCCUAUUCCAUAGGGUAUUGUGUACGGUAAGCCUAAGAAAAUGUAUUACCCAACUGAAAUUCCAAGGAACAAUAGAUCAGUUAUUGUGGAACAUGCUGGCUAUAAAUUGGAUGGUCUCUAAGUUCUCAACUCCUACUGGAUUAGUUGUUUUGGAACAUGCCCGUCAUUUAUUGUAUACAUAUGUUGAUUCUUAAUGUGUACAUAUUUGUACACAUGUUGAUUAUUUAGGUGUACAUAGUUGUACAUUUGUUGAUUUUUAAUGUUUUUCAAUGUGCACAUAGUUGUACACUUUUUGAGUGUUAAUGUGCACAUGGUUCUAUGCUAAUCUAUUGAUAACAAAACACUCGUACUAUGGACCUCCAAGUUUCUGUA